rnacentral:snRNA from 1 species
GUGGUCACUUUGGUGGCACAUACCCUAAAAUUGGAACGGUACAGAGAUUAGCAUGGCCCCUGCACAAGGAUGACACACAAACUCGUGAAACGUUACAUAUUUAC